rnacentral:rRNA from 1 species
AAUAGAAAGUAAUUAAGGGCGUAUGGCGGAUGCCUAGGCUCACGGAGGCGAUGAAGGACGUGAUAAGCUGCGAUAAGCUUCGGGUAGGUGCAAAUGACCUUUGAUCCGAGGAUUUCCGAAUGGGACAACCUGACUGUCUGAAGGACGGUCACCUAUAUAUUUUUUAUGGGAGCUAACGCAGGGAACUGAAACAUCUUAGUACCUGUAGGAAGAGAAAAUAAUUUAAUGAUUCCCCUAGUAGUGGCGAGCGAACGGGGAAGAGCCCAAACC